rnacentral:rRNA from 1 species
GAUAAACGCUGGCGGCGCACAUAAGACAUGCAAGUCGAACGGACUUAAUCGAUUCUUUUAGAUUCGAAGCGGUUAGUGGCGGACUGGUGAGUAACACGUAAGCAACCUGCCUGUUAGAGGGGAAUAACAGUGAGAAAUCACUGCUAAAACCGCAUAUGCCGUGAACAUCGCAUGAUGAAAACGGGAAAAGAGCAAUCUGCUAAUAGAUGGGCUUGCGUCUGAUUAGCUAGUUGGUGUGGUAAAGGCAUACCAAGGCAACGAUCAGUAGCCGGACUGAGAGGUUGAACGGCCACAUUGGGACUGAGAUACGGCCCAGACUCCUACGGGAGGCAGCAGUCGGGAAUAUUGCGCAAUGGAGGAAACUCUGACGCAGUGACGCCGCGUAUGGGAAGAAGGUUUUCGGAUUGUAAACCAUUUUAGACAAGGAAGAAACAAGACAGUACU